GACAGAGGAUGCAAGCGUUAUCCGGAAUGAUUGGGCGUAAAGCGUCUGUAGGUGGUUUAUCAAGUCUUCUGUCAAAGAUCAGGGCUUAACUCUGGGCAGGCAGGAGAAACUAGUAGACUAGAGUUCGGUAGGGGCAGAGGGAAUUCCCGGUGGAGCGGUGAAAUGCGUAGAGAUCGGGAGGAACACCAAAGGCGAAAGCACUCUGCUGGGCCGUAACUGACACUGAGAGACGAAAGCGAGGGGAGCAAAUGGG
rnacentral:rRNA from 1 species